GACGAACGCUGGCGGCGUGCUUAACACAUGCAAGUCGAACGGAAAGGCCCUGCUUUUGUGGGGUGCUCGAGUGGCGAACGGGUGAGUAACACGUGAGUAACCUGCCCUUGACUUUGGGAUAACUUCAGGAAACUGGGGCUAAUACUGGAUAGGAGCUCCUGCUGCAUGGUGGGGGUUGGAAAGUUUCGGCGGUUGGGGAUGGACUCGCGGCUUAUCAGCUUGUUGGUGGGGUAGUGGCUUACCAAGGCUUUGACGGGUAGCCGGCCUGAGAGGGUGACCGGCCACAUUGGGACUGAGAUACGGCCCAGACUCCUACGGGAGGCAGCAGUGGGGAAUAUUGCACAAUGGGCGGAAGCCUGAUGCAGCGACGCCGCGUGCGGGAUGACGGCCUUCGGGUUGUAAACCGCUUUCGCCUGUGACGAAGCGUGAGUGACGGUAAUGGGUAAAGAAGCACCGGCUAACUACGUG
rnacentral:rRNA from 1 species